UACUUCCUUUCAACUUUUAGAUACUUAGAAAUUACUCAGAAAAUUAUUUGUAUAUUGUGAACAAAAAAUCACAUAAUGAGUGUGAGCAGUGUUUAUGAUUAUUUUAUGAUUGACUCAGCAGAUCCGGUCACGCGUAAUUGGGCGUUAGUAGAAACGCCUUUGAUGCUACUAAGUCUAACCUCUGCGUAUUUGUAUUUUAUACUUUACGCCGGACCAAGUUACAUGAAGUAUCGACAGCCAUUUAGCUUAAGAACCUUUAUAUUAUUUUAUCUAAAAGUUCUCAAAUUAAAUGGUUGUAGUAUUUCAAAUUCUUGCUAAUGCAUGGCUGGUACACAGUUAUAUAUCUGCCAGCUGGUUUACUAAAUAUAGCAUAAAAUGUAAUAAUAAUAGUGAUUUGACGAGUAUAAAUGGUUUUAAGGUAAUAACUAUUUCAUGGUGGAUAUUACUAUUAAAACUAAUUGAUUAUAUCGAAACGUGUAUAUUUGUUUUAUGGAAAAAACAGGACCAAAUUUCUACUUUGCAUGUAGGUAUAUUAUCAUGCAAAGUAGAAACUUGAUUCUGUUUUUUGCAUGUAUAUCAUCAUGUGUUUAAUGUCUUUAUUGGAUGGUAUUUUCUCAAAUAUAUAGUGGAUCCCAGAACAACAUUUGCGUGUUUACUUAAUUGUUUUAUCCAUGGUAUCAUAUUAUCGUAUUACUUCAUUGCAGCAUGCAGCACAACCUCAUGCAACAAAAAGUAUCUAUUUUAAAAUUUUAUAUUACGAAAUUACAAAUGGUAAGUUCUACAUUAUAUACAAGUAAGGUAUGUAUAUACUACGCACAUGUAUCAUAUAAAACGAAAGUUUUCACAUUACAUUUUACAAUUGAACUUCAUACACCAUAAUAUUGUUACUACCUGUUCACUUAAUUAGACGAAUUUGUAAUUUAAUUAAUUUUAACUUCCUAUGAUAAAUUUAUACACAACAACAAUAUAUUUUGAAAUUAUAAC